rnacentral:rRNA from 1 species
AUGGCAGAGACCGGAGAUGCAAGCAGCGACUGGCUUGCGCGCCUCUCUGGACUCGGUUCAUAUGUUUGCUCCAAGAUGAACUACCACGAGUACUGCAGCCAUGAAUACAACGGCAUCCACAGCGCGCUUCACAGAGUCCUCGAAGAAAAGGAGAAGGUGGAGCAAGAACACAAGGCAAGGCUUCAACUCGUCGCUGCAAAGGAGGAGCUCGUUAAAAGGAAUGAAGAGCAGGAAGCAGAGAUUCAGUCUCUAAAGAGAAAGCUCCAAGCAAGUGAGGCAAGCCAUACGCCGGCACAGGGGAGUGGUCGUGAACAUAACCAGUCUGGAAGGAAGCAGGUGCAAAGAACGUCAGUGCAGAAAAGAAAACGGCAAUCUGAGGGACAAGCUGGUGAAGAUGCUGAGGAUCAUCAGGCUGCGGAAAUUCUGUGUGCUAUGAACAAUCUUGAACAAGGUUUGAGUGCGGAGCUUCGCGAUGUUAGAGAAGAGACUUCAAAUAUCAACGCUGAGCUCAUCAAGGGAUUUCUUGAUAUGGGUGGUGUUGGUAGACAGAAUAUCGCAGUAAAGUACAUGGGGCAGUUGAGUGAGAGGCCAUUCCUACUGGCAUGCCUUCAGAAGUUUCUCCGCAAAGAAGCCGAGGCAGAAGCUUCUCGGCUGUGCAAAUUUUGGCAGGAGCAGCUCAUGAACCCAGAGUGGUAUCCCUUCAAGACUGACACGGUUGGAGGCAUUUCUGAGGGGACUAUUAAUGACGAUGACAUUAAGCUACAAGAGCUGCGGGCUACAUGGGGGGAAGAGUCUUACAAGGCUUUGGUGAAGGCUUUGGUGAAUAGUUUCUUGGAGUUAAAGGAAUGUGGCAAGCUGAGUGACAGAACCAUUGUAGCCCAGCUUUGGAAUUUCGAAGAGGACAGGAAGGCCACUCUCAGUGAGAGUGUUGAGUACGUGUGCAACAAAGUGAAGAGCCUCAGCAAUGAGAAUGUCAGGACCUCGACUCGCGGGAAAAGGGGCCGUUGUGUUGGACGAGCAUGA